rnacentral:rRNA from 1 species
GACGAACCGUGCGAACGUUGUUCGGAAUCACUGGGCUUAAAGGGCGCGUAGGCGGGCUGUCCAGUCUGGGGUGAAAUCCCGCGGCUCAACCGUGGAACUGCCUCAGAUACUGACGGCCUCGAGGGAGAUAGGGGCAUGCGGAACUGUAGGUGGAGCGGUGAAAUGCGUUGAUAUCAUCAGGAACUCCGGUGGCGAAGGCGGCUCACUGGACCGUACUG